UUGAGGUGAACCCUGUCGUCCCCUGCCUCUUCCUCUCUUCUCUUUUCUUCUCCUUCCCGUUUUCUUUCCCUUCUCCCUCUCCCACCGUCUCUCGUCUCCCCUCUCCACCGAACGACCCUCCCUCUCCCACUGUCUCUCGUCUCCCCUCUCCACCGAACGACUCUCCCUCUCCCACUGUCACUCGUCUCACUCUCCACCGUCUCUCUCUCUUCUCUCCCGUCCUCUCCCCUCACUGCCUUCUUUUCCCCUUUUGACCGAACCCUCUCCCCAUUUUCUGCUCGUUUUCUAUUUUUCUCCAAUCAAGUACUUUCUCUCACUGAUUUUCACUGUGCUAUCACUGUUGGAUCCGUUUUCAGCUUGGGGAUUUGUCUUCCCCCUCGUAACAGCAAUUAGAGAAGGCCUUGGUAGUGGCGGCAUUGGAGGAUUUUAGCCGUUUGGGGACCACUUGGACGCGUGAGGUGGCUGCCGGGAGGAUUACAACAGUUUAGACCUUCAAUCGGGGUUCACCGGGUACGUCCCGUCGACCUUGAGUUACCGGAUUCGAAGCUCGAGGCAUUUUGAAGAUUCUUGUGAACGCGCCACAGGUUUUGGUGUACCCGGGGCAGCAGGCUGAGCAGAUGGCUACACUCACGUCCUACUGGGGAGGUUUUGGGUUUUGUUUUGUUCUUGUAGUGCCGGCGCGUCGGGUUUUUGGUUUUACUGAUGCCUUGUUUUUUAUUAGGCAUCGAUGUUGUGAUUUUGGGGCAUUUUUGUCAAAUGUACAAUUGAAUUGAAAUGCUAUAUAAUGGAAAGCUUGCCCCAUUGUUUUGAAUUGUAUGGCUCAUUCCUUUUUGAACUAUUGUGUAGUCACACCUCGAUGUUGGAUGU